rnacentral:lncRNA from 1 species
GCAGCGGGCCGCGGGCUGGCUAGGUUGUGCACUGUCGGGAACCUGCAGAUUGUCAGAGAUGCUCAACCCACUUCAGGUUUCAUGUGGUUUCCGUUGCCCCGAGGGUGGGAACUCUCUCAGAUUCUAAUUUUGAGAGUACGUUUCUUCCCUAGACCAUGGGCUUUGAAUCAGAGAUAGCAAAUCCAUGUUCAAGUGGUGAUUCGAACAGCACUUAGCCUUCUGACCUCUUUAGCCAUCAGUUCCCUCGGGUGUAAAAUGGGAAUAUUCAUGUGAUCUGUUUCAAAACAUUAGUAUAAUUCAAUAAGCAUGACUUCGGGCACGCUGUUCACGUGCUGACUACACUUGGCCAUGGCUGUGUUGUGAACUUUCAUGAAAAAAGAGGCUUAGCCGUGUGUGCUAACACAUGCCUGCAAUCCCAGAGCUCUGGAGGCAGGAGGACAGCAAGUUGGAGGAGAGCCUGGAGUAUAUGGUGCUUUUCUCUGCAGCUCAUCCACCCUGUCCUACAAAUGGAUCUCUCACACCAUUCCUGCUCCUCCAUCGAGUCACCCCACUGAAGGGUACCAAACUUCGUAAUGGGUCCCAUUUAACUUCUCAGAAGACAUUGUCAGAAUUCGAUGGAACCCGAAGCCUCACUAAUCAUAGCCUCAGUCAAGAUGCUCAUCAGCUGGACUUUUCCUCCUGCAAGGAAGCGUAUGAUGAAACUUUUCUCUGUUACUGAAGCCAUCUUUGUUCCAAUUGGUCAUGUUAAAAGCACUUGAACUCCCCAGUCUGUGACUAGUCAAGCCUGGCAUACACCUUGGAUGCUGGGCCCUCAGGGCUUUUCUUUGCCCUCAGGCUCUUCUUGGUAGUCAUUAAGUCCCACCAAACCCUCACAGCUUCAGCAGAGCUUCCAUUCGCCAACCCUUUAACCCUUAAAAUCCCUCCUAGUCCUCCUACCCCUGCCCUCUGAGCUGAUCUCCCUGACCCUUUAGUCCCAUCCAAAAGUCUUCAGUAACUCCAC